GACGAACGCUGGCGGCGUGCCUAAUACAUGCAAGUCGAGCGGAUCUCUUCGGAGAUCAGCGGCGGACGGGUGAGUAACACGUGGGCAACCUGCCUGUAAGACUGGGAUAACUCCGGGAAACCGGAGCUAAUACCGGAUACUAUGUCAAACCGCAUGGUUUGACAUUCAAAGACGGUUUCGGCUGUCACUUACAGAUGGGCCCGCGGCGCAUUAGCUAGUUGGUGAGGGAAUGGCUCACCAAGGCGACGAUGCGUAGCCGACCUGAGAGGGUGAUCGGCCACACUGGGACUGAGAAACGGCCCAGACUCCUACGGGAGGCAUCAGUAGGGAAUCUUCCGCAAUGUACGAAAGUCUGACGGAGCAACGCCGCGUGAGUGAUGAAGGUUUUCGGAUCGUAAAACUCUGUUGUCAGGGAAGAACAAGUGCCGGAGUAACUGCCGGCACCUUGACGGUACCUGACCAGAAAGCCACGGCUAACUACGUGCCAGCAGCCGCCGCCG
rnacentral:rRNA from 1 species